rnacentral:lncRNA from 1 species
UGCAUGUAUCUUUUGUACCUCCAAACCCAGUGGGCAAACAACCUUUUUCACUUCGUACAUUGAGGACGGCAAUUCGUUUCCCUCGGGAAGCAUGUUCUUUAUGAUUUUCAUUAACUCAUCAAAACCCUUAUCAGAAACUCCAAUUUUUACCUUCUAUUGUAGCAUUUUCAGUGUGCUACCAAACUUUUUGUACCCCUUGCAAUCUGGGUACAAUAAUUUCUUAUGAUCAUCUAACAUAUGCUCAAACUUCUUUGACUCCUUCACAUUCUCGCAGUCUUCCUUUGCAUUUCGCAACACCUGACCUAUAUCAUCGGUAGGACCUUCUUCUGCAGCCAUCACUUCUUCAGCCUCGCCUAUUGCAGCAUCUACAAAGGCACCUUCUUAAGUACAGUCAGGAAUGUAGUUACCAUCUUCAUGGUCAUCAUCAUCUUCCAUCAUAACUCCUCUUUUC